rnacentral:rRNA from 1 species
AUGGCGGAGCUUGGUGGCAUGCUUGCCGCUGCCAUCCUCAAGGUGGUGGGUGAGCAGAUUGGUUCUGUGAUUGGUGGUCAGAUCGCCCUGAAGAUGAACUUCGAUGAGGACCUGAACAAGAUGAAGAUGGAGCUGGAGGGUGUCGAUGCCCUGCUCGAGGACGCCGAGAGGCGGUCGAUCACGGAUAGAUCGACACGUCUAUGGCUGAAGCGGCUCAAGGACUUCAUGUAUGAGAUCUCCGAUAUGAUUGAUGAAUUCGAAGCCGACACGCAAGCAAUCAUACAGCCGUCUGCGCGAAAGUCCUCCUUCAAAAAUUAUUUGGCAACUAUGAUCUCUUGUCUCACAAUUGGCCCUGAGAUUACAAUGGCCAAUAAGAUGGAUAAGAUGAGGCAGGGUCUAGAAGUAAUAACAGAUCAGCACAGGAAAUUCGAAUUAAUGGAAGGUACUAAUGCCAGUGAGCCAAAGGUUACGGAUAUACGGGAAACAUCGUCAACCUUGGAGACACAUGUAAUUGGGAGAACCGGGGAGAAAGAGAAAAUAUUGGCAUCGUUAUCCAAGAGCAUGAAAAAAGAGAUCACAAUCCUUCCCAUUUAUGGCAUUGGAGGCCUUGGAAAAACAACCUUGGCAAAAAUGGUUUACAAUAGUUCCCAAUUUAGAGAAUACUCCCAAGUGUGGGUUUAUGUGUCCCAGACAUUUGAUUUGAAGAAAAUUGGCAAUUCUAUAAUAUCACAACUAUCACAGAAAGAGAAUGAGAGUGGGUACACUGGAAAGCAGAUGAUCCAUAAUUCCCUUCAAAAGCUCAUUGCCAAUAAGAAUAUACUGAUUGUUUUAGAUGACCUAUGGGAAGAUAACAAUUCUCAUUUGGAAGAGUUGAUGGGUUUGUUAAAGGUUGAAGAGAGUGGCAAGGUGGUUGUUAUAGUUACCACACGCUAUGAGGGCAUUGCAAAGAAAAUUUGUACAAUUCAACCUCACAAAUUAGUACCACUAACAGAUGACCAGUGUUGGAAUAUCAUAAAGCAAAAGAGUGACUUUGAAUUGAGAGACGACAAAGAAGAGUUGCAUCACAUAGGCCAGGACAUCGCAAGUAAGUGCCGAGGCGUGGCUUUAGCAGCGCAAUCGCUUGGACACAUGUUGCAUUCUCUCUCCUUUGAUGAAUGGGAGUCGGUGAGAAACAGUGAUUUCUGGAAUUUAUCUGAUUCAGAAGAUACAAGCUUGACACAUGCGCUUGCAUCAUUGAAGUUAAGCUAUAGUGUUAUGCCUUCGUAUUUGAAGAUAUGUUUUGCCUAUUGUGCGAUUUUCCCAAAAGGUUACAAGAUAGUUAAAGAUGACCUGAUCCAUCAGUGGAUUUCUCUGGGUUUCAUCAAGGCAACAAACAAUUUAUCCACUUGGCAGCUUGGUGAGAAAUGCAUUAGGCAACUUUUGGGCCUGUCCUUCCUUGAACAUUCAAAGUCAGCACUGACUACAGGAAUGGAUUAUGAAAAUGAUAGAUUGUUCACCAUGCACGAUUUGGUGCAUGAUCUAGCAAGAUUGGUCAUGGUCGAUGAAGUACAUGUUGCUAGCAAACAAGGCAACACAGGGGGAGGUUGCUGCCACUUUGCAUUGCUAAAUGAUUGUUCCAAGCCAUUGGAGUCAUCCAAGAUAAGGGCACUUCGUUUUAUGGAGUGUGACAAAAGUGAACUUCAUGACGCUGCCUUUUCAUCUGCUAAGUCCAUGCGUGUCUUGGACUUAAGCGAGUGCUCCAUGCAUAAAUUUCCAGAUUCUAUUCACGUGUUGAAGCAGUUGAGAUAUCUUAGUGCUCCAAGAAUCCAUGAUGCAGAGAUUCCCGAUAGUAUCACCAAGCUUUCAAAAUUAAUUUAUCUGAACCUUCAUGGAUCUCCUAAAAUCUUAGCACUACCAGAGUCAAUUGGAGAAAUUGAGGGUCUAAUGUAUCUUGAUUUGGCGGGUUGUUCAAGAAUUGAAGAACUGCCUGAAUCUUUUAGCAGGCUAAAAGAAUUGGUGCAUCUAGAUCUAUCAAAUUGCUAUGGUGUUCGAGGUAUAUCGGUGUUCCUGGGGAGCCUCACACAACUGCAGUAUUUGAACUUAUCAUACUGCCCAAAUAUCGGAGAGAUACCUGAAGAUCUAAGUGGUCUAUCCAAAUUGCAGUAUUUGAACUUAUCAUUCAGCUCAUAUGUUCAAUGUUGCGAAGAAGUAGAAUUUUUGGGGGCCUUUACCAAACUCGAGUACUUAAACUUAUCUUCAGACCAUUCUGUACUUCAAAAGCUCCCUGAAGCUUUGGGCAGAUUCAUUCAACUCAAGUACUUAAACUUAUCUGGUUGUCGAGAUAUGACAACAUUGCCAAUGUUUCCUGGGAGUCUAAAAAAUUUGGCGCAUCUUGAUUUAUCACAUUGUUAUAGUAUUUAUCGUCUUCAAGAGGCUUUGGUGGGUCUUACCAAUCUGAGAUAUUUGAACUUAAAAGAUACAUGUUUGAAACCACAACUAGAAUAUGAUGAUACCAAAUAUCAUAGGAAGAGAUCAUGUUUACUUGGUUCACCAUUGGAAAAAAAUCAUUAUGGGAAUUACUUUCAAAGUCUGAUCAACCAUUUAGGCAAUAAUCUUUCUGAUCUAGAGCAUUUGGACUUGUCUUAUAAUCAUUCUCUUGAAAGCAUACCUGAAAGUAUUUGUCGCAUGAGAAAGCUGCAUACAUUGGAUCUUUCGGAAUGCAUACUUCUUGCAAAGAUACCAGAAAGUAUACACACACUUGGUAGUUUGAAGUUUCUUUAUUUGAAGGGAUGUGACCUUCUUUCCAGAAUACCUCAUCUUGGUGGUAGUACAGUAUCAUUACCAUACUUUGUGGUGCGUGCUGGUGAUGAUGAUGAAUCUAGCAGCAACCUUGUCCUGCUACAAUCCACAGAUCCUGUUGAGCUGCAGAUAUCUGAACUUGAAAAUGUGAAGUCCCCAGGAGAGGCAGAUCGUAUCAAAUUAGUGGAAAAGCAUAGCCUCAAGGACUUGAAAUUGGAGUGGACUAGAGGUGUUGAGAGAUUUGUCUAUGACAAAAUGUUGCUGAAAAAUCUAGUGCCACCAAGCACAUUGAAGAAAUUGGAGAUAUGUGGUUACAAUGGUGUCAGCUUUCCUGCGUGGCUGGUGGGCCAACUACCAAACCUAGUCUCGUUGGUUCUCAGAGAUAUGGCAAACGUGGAAGAGUGGAACACAUCAUACUCAAGUGAUGAGGAGCAUGUGAUUCAAAUAUUGGAAAUACAUGGUUGCCCCAUGUUAAGGAUGAAAAGGUCUCUGCUUAAAGCUAAAUCAUGGGUGAUAUCACACAGUGAUAAUGUGUUAUCAUCACUGGAUGAGUGCACUGUGUCACACGCCAGUGUUUCCUCCUCCACUUCUCCAAUAACUAUUGUGUUGUCAGUUAAAUACUGUAAGGGGCCUCAUCGGUGGAGGUUGCUUCAACACUUCACCGGACUAUCUUCUUUGUCAAUUCACAAUUGUGGUGAUCUAACCGGCUCACCAGAGAUCACCCAUCAUCUAUCGUCUUUGGAAGCACUAUGCCUAGAAGACGAACACAUGGAAGAACUACCAAAAUGGUUGGGUGAGCUCGCAUCUCUACAAAGUCUGGAAAUAAGGUGGAGCAAUGGUGUAACAGAGUUGAAUGAGACCAUGAGGCAACUCACAAUGCUGCAGUCACUAAACUUGUCCUAUUGCCACAAUUUAUCACUGCCACAUUGGUUAGGCGAACUAACCUCUCUCAAGGAACUUGUUGUGUGUUCCAAUGAUGUCUUGAGGUCUUUACCUGAAAGCAUACAACAACUAACCGACCUUCAGAAAAUAAAAAUUAGCAACUGCCCUAAAUUAGAGCAUGUGGUUAAUGAAUCAUUGGAGGGAAUGAUGAAGCGCACUCACAACCAAGAAACGGUAUGCGUCCUGCCCGCCUCUCUCAAGGAACUUACUAUCCAUAUAUGUCAUGGUAUCAAGUCAUUGCCUGAGGGCAUACAUCAACUCACCAACCUCAAAAACCUAGAGAUUGAUGAGUGCUAUUACCUUUAUCAGUGGUGUAAAUUAGAGGAGAGCAAGAAGCUUGCUCACAUACAAAACAAGUCUUUUGUCUGGUAG